AAAAUUUUAAGUUAAAUUAAACUUUAAUUUUUCAAAAAUUAGAAUACUUUAUAUUAGGGUAAAUUUUA
rnacentral:tRNA from 1 species